GACGAACGCUGGCGGUGUGCCUAAUACAUGCAAGUCGAGCGGAUCUGAUGAAGUGCUUGCACUUCUGAUGGUUAGCGGCGGACGGGUGAGUAACACGUAGGCAACCUGCCUGCAAGCCCGGGAUAACAUUCGGAAACGAAUGCUAAGACCGGAUACGCAGCUUGGUCGCAUGACUGAGCUGGGAAAGACGGAGCAAUCUGUCGCUUGUAGAUGGGCCUGCGGCGCAUUAGCUAGUUGGGGAGGUAACGGCCCACCAAGGCGACGAUGCGUAGCCGACCUGAGAGGGUGAACGGCCACACUGGGACUGAGACACGGCCCAGACUCCUGCGGGAGGCAGCAGUAGGGAAUCUUUCACAAUGGACGCAAGUCUGAUGGAGCAACGCCGCGUGAGUGAGGAAGGCCUUCGGGUCGUAAAGCUCUGUUGCCAGGGAAGAACGCCUAGGAGAGUAACUGCUCUUAGGGUGACGGUACCUGAGAAGAAAGCCCCGGCUAACUACGUGCCAGCCGCCGCGGUAACAC
rnacentral:rRNA from 1 species